rnacentral:rRNA from 1 species
GAAGGCUGAAAUUCGCCUUCAUGAAGCCGGAAUUGCUAGUAAUGGCAGGCCAGCAUACUGCCGUGAAUACGUUCCCGGGCCUUGUACACACCGCCCGUCACACCAUGAGAGUUGGGAAUACCCGAAGCCUGUGAGCUAACAUUAAGAGGCAGCAGUCGAAGGUAGAAUCAAUGAUUGGGGUGAAGUCGUAACAAGGUAGC